CAAUAGCGUAUAUUAAAGUUGUUGCGGUUAAAAAGCUCGUAGUUGGAUUUCUGCCGAGGACGACCGGUCCGCCCUCUGGGUGUGUAUCUGGUUUGGCCUGGGCAUCUUCUUGGAGAACGUAGCUGCACUUGACUGUGUGGUGCGGUGUCCAGGACUUUUACUUUGAGGAAAUUAGAGUGUUUCAAGCAGGCACACGCCUUGAAUACAUUAGCAUGGAAUAAUAAGAUAGGACCUCGGUUCUAUUUUGUUGGUUUCUAGAGCUGAGGUAAUGAUUAAUAGGGAUAGUUGGGGGCAUUCGUAUUUAACUGUCAGAGGUGAAAUUCUUGGAUUUUUUAAAGACGAACUAUUGCGAAGGCAUCUGCCCAGGAUGUUUUUAUUGA
rnacentral:rRNA from 1 species